rnacentral:tRNA from 1 species
GGGGUUUAGGAUAAUAUAGACCAAGGACCUUCAAAGCCCUAAGUAGGAGUUAAAAUCUCCUAGCCCCUG